rnacentral:rRNA from 1 species
GUGAAGGAAAGGUGAAAAGGACCCCGGGAGGGGAGUGAAAGAGAACCUGAAACCUUGUGCUUACAAGCACUCAAAGCACGUUAAAGUGUGAUGAGGUACUUUUUGUAGAACGGUCCGGCGAGUUAUUGUAUGUAGCGAGCUUAAGGUGUUCAGCACCGGAGGCGAAGCGAGAGCGAGUCUGAAUAGGGCGACUGAGUUGCAUGCAAUAGACCCGAAACCAGGUGACCUAUCCAUGGGCAGGUUGAAGUGGGGGUAAAACCCCAUGGAGGACCGAACCGACCCCCGUUGCAAUGGUGGCGGAUGACCUGUGGAUAGCGGAGAAAUUCUAAUCGAACUUGGAGAUAGCUGGUUCUCCCCGAAAUAGCUUUAGGGCUAGCGUUGAUUUAGAUUACCGGAGGUAAAGCACUGAAUGGGCUAGGGGCUGAUAAAGUUACUGAACCCUAUCAAACUCUGAAUGCCGGAUAAUUGAUGACUAGCAGUCAGACUACGUGAGAUAAGUCUCGUGGUCAAAAGGGAAACAGCCCAGACCCACAGCUAAGGUCCCAAAUAUACGCUAAGUGGAAAACGAUGUGGAAUUGCGAAAACAACCAGGAUGUUGGCUUAGAAGCAGCCACUCAUUAAAAGAGUGCGUAAUAGCUCACUGGUCGAGUGGUUCUGCGCGGAAAAUGUAACGGGGCUAAGCGUAUAACCGAAGCUUGGGAUGCAGCAAUGCAUGGUAGGGGAGCGUCGAAUACGGGGUGAAGUCGUAGCGGAAGCAGCGGUGGACUGUAUUCGAGUGAGAAUGCCGGAAUGAGUAGCGAGAAUUAUGUGGGAAUCAUAAUGGCCGAAAAUCUAAGGUUUCUUGGGGAAGGUUCGUCCGCCCAAGGUAAGCCGGGAGCUAAGGCGAGGCCGAAAGGCGUAGUCGAUGCACAUACGGUUGAAAUUCCGUAGCCACCGAAACUUAAACCAGAAGGACACUUGGAGCUAUCCGAACCCGGGCGUUGGUUGACCCGGGCGUAAGGGACCGAAAUUAAGUAGGGAAGUCGGAGAAUGACGAGGCGAGAAAAGUUCUGGUGUAUGCUAAGGUGCCCGUACCGCAAACCGACACAGGUAGAUGAGGAGAGAAUCCUAAGGCCAACGGGAGAAGGGUUGUUAAGGAACUCGGCAAGUUGACCCCGUAACUUCGGAAUAAGGGGAGCCUCGAAAGAGGCCGCAGUGAAAAGGCCCAAGCAACUGUUUACCAAAAACACAGGUCUAUGCUAAAUCGAAAGAUGACGUAUAUGGGCUGACGCCUGCCCGGUGCCGGAAGGUUAAGAGGAGAUGUCAGCGCAAGCGAAGCAUUGAAUUGAAGCCCCGGUAAACGGCGGCCGUAACUAUAACGGUCCUAAGGUAGCGAAAUUCCUUGUCAGGUAAGUUCUGACCCGCACGAAAGGCGUAAUGAUUUGGGCACUGUCUCAACAGCCCACCCGGCGAAAUUGUAGUACUGGUGAAGAUGCCAGUUACCCGCAACUAGACGGAAAGACCCCAUGGAGCUUUACUGUAGCUUAAUACUGAGGAUUGGUAAUUGAUGUACAGGAUAGGUGGGAGACAUGGAAACAUUGGCGUCAGCCAGUGCGGAGUCACCCUUGGGAUACCACCCUUCAAUUGCUGGUUUUCUAACCUGCGGCCGUGAAUCCGGUCGGGGGACACUGUUAGGCGGGCAGUUUGACUGGGGCGGUCGCCUCCUAAAGAGUAACGGAGGCGCUCAAAGGUUGGCUCAGCACGGACGGAAAUCGUGCAGUGAGUGUAAACGUAGAAGCCAGCCUAACUGCGAGACCGACGGGUCGAGCAGUAACGAAAGUUGGAGUUAGUGAUCCGGUGGUAUGUGAGUGG